UUAAUUUUCUUUGCAUUAUUAUUCUUGCUACACUUAUUAGUACCUUAAUAAUCACCAUUUUGUAUGGAAACUCUAUUGAUUCAAAAUCAAGAGUUUAAAGUAUUCUUGAACCUCCAUGAGCAAAAGUCUCCCUCACAUGUCAUAAUUGCUCAAAACACUCUUGUGAGGCUCCCUUCUUUGGGCCUAGAUCAUUUUCCUAGCUACACCCCUAAUUUUUAACUUAUUUUUGUAUUUUG
rnacentral:lncRNA from 1 species